rnacentral:rRNA from 1 species
GUUGAACGCGAAAACCCCGCAAGGGGUAGUAGAGUGGCGAACGGGUGAGUAACACGUGGGUGACCUACCUUCGAAUGGGGGAUAACGUCCCGAAAGGGACGCUAAUACCGCAUAACAUCCUGCUUUUGAACAAGUGGAGAUCAAAGCCGGGGAUCGCAAGACCUGGCGUUUGAAGAGGGGCCCGCGUCUGAUUAGCUAGUUGGUGAGGUAACGGCUCACCAAGGCGACGAUCAGUAUCCGGCCUGAGAGGGCGGACGGACACACUGGGACUGAGACACGGCCCAGACUCCUACGGGAGGCAGCAGUGGGGAAUUGUUCGCAAUGGGCGCAAGCCUGACGACGCAACGCCGCGUGGAGGAUGAAGGUCUUCGGAUUGUAAACUCCUGUUGCCCGGGACGAAACGCUUCGACCUAACACGUCGGAGUUUGACGGUACCGGGUGAGGAAGCCCCGGCUAACUCUGUGCCAGCAGCCGCGGUAAUACAGAGGGGGCAAGCGUUGUUCGGAAUUACUGGGCGUAAAGGGCGCGUAGGCGGCCUUCUAAGUCGAACGUGAAAUCCCCGGGCUCAACCCGGGAACUGCGUCCGAUACUGGAAGGCUUGAAUCCGGGAGAGGGAUGCGGAAUUCCAGGUGUAGCGGUGAAAUGCGUAGAUAUCUGGAGGAACACCGGUGGCGAAGGCGGCAUCCUGGACCGGCAUUGACGCUGAGGCGCGAAAGCCAGGGGAGCAAACGGGAUUAGAUACCCCGGUAGUCCUGGCCCUAAACGAUGAAUGCUUGGUGUGGCGGGUAUCGAUCCCUGCCGUGCCGAAGCUAACGCAUUAAGCAUUCCGCCUGGGGA